rnacentral:rRNA from 1 species
UGAGGAAUAUUGGUCAAUGGGCGAGAGCCUGAACCAGCCAAGUAGCGUGCAGGACGACGGCCCUAUGGGUUGUAAACUGCUUUUAUGUGGGGAUAAAGUGCUUUACGUGUCAUGCAUUGCAGGUACCACAUGAAUAAGGACCGGCUAAUUCCGUGCCAGCAGCCGCGGUCAUACGGAAUGUCCGGGCGUUAUCCGGAUUUAUUGGGUUUAAAGGGAGCGUAGUCCGUUUGGUAAGCGUGUUGUGAAAUGUAGGAGCUCAACUUCUAGAUUGCAGCGCGAACUGUCAGACUUGAGUGCGCACAACGUAGGCGGAAUUCAUGGUGUAGCGGUGAAAUGCUUAGAUAUCAUGAAGAACGCCGAUUGGGAAGGCAGAUUACGGGAGCGAAACUGACGCUGAAGCUCGAAGGUGCGGGUAUCGAAAAGG